rnacentral:rRNA from 1 species
AUUGAACGCUGGCGGCAGGCCUAACACAUGCAAGUCGAACGCGUGGCGCACGGGUGUGUAAUGUCUGGGACACUCCCAGAUGGAGGGGGAAAACUCCUGGAAACGGUAGCUAAUACCGCAUACCAUCGGAUGUGCCCAGAUGGGAUUAGCUAGUAGGUGGGGUAACGGCUCACAUAGGCCACGAUCCAUAGCUGGUCUGAGAGGAUGACCAGCCACACGGGAACUGAGACACGGUCCAGACUCCUACGGGAGGCAGCAGUGGGGAAUAUUGCGCAAUGGGGGCAACCCUGACGCAGCCAUGCCGCGUGAAUGAAGAAGGCCUUCGGGUUGUAAAGUUCUUUCGGUAGCGAGGCGUUAACUACAGAAGAAGCACCGGCUAACUCCGUGCCAGCAGCCGCGGUAAUAC